AUGGAAGAUCCGCCAAAUUUUUAUGUCACUGGAUAUUCACCUGAUCCUAGCAGCAUGGAGCCGUCGCCGCAACCUCCGAGCAGUUUCGUUUUCUCUGGAUCAUCAAUAUUGCCGAAAGCUGGCCAUACAAGUAAAUGUGUUGGGCCACAAGUGCCACCACGUAUUGAGCGUAUUGUGCGUGAGGUUUCAGGCAUGCAGAGUAGCCGAACAAAAAUUCCUGAGAUUGGGGCUUUACAUCCACCAUAUGUGGAUGUGGAUUCUGCGCAUGCUGAUACAAGUACGCUCAACAUGCAUAAAGUACCUGCGGCUUGCCACACAGCUGGAAACACCACAAAUCGCCGCCCUAAAAUUGUUCCUGGAGUAGCAGGUUUGCAUCCUCCGAGUCGUAAGCAGCCAGGUGUGGGUGAUCAUACGCUGCCUCCACGUCCACCUUCAUCGACUUCAAAGCAACAACUAGUGCGCAACAAUACGUCAAAGAAAUUGCCGGUGCACCCGAAACGUGACCCGCUGCUGCACAAAUCAGUGGUUACGCCUCCUUGUCCGAUACAACCUGACGACUGCAUAAGUCCAGAGGAGAAUCGAAAGUAUAUCCAUGUGAGUAUAAUAAACAGAUGUUAUUACUACAUUUUCAUAGUCAAACUACCUCUUGUUUACAAAGCAGUACAAAUGUAG
rnacentral:rRNA from 1 species